UUCAGAACCAAGGAGAGCUCCAGCCGUGACGCCGAGGAUGCUCCUUGCCGGCGCUGACGAGAAAAGAUUCGAUUUCGUUGGUACCACCAAAAGAGCCACCCUACUUGCUCCAUCUUACUCAUCAUUUCCAAAUUAGCUGAACUUGAUUGAGCCAGAUCAGGCUGCAGCCCUCAUGCACAAAGGCAAAGAGAAAUUAGUCACUGCGCUGCCACCUCUGCAAACUCGUGCUUUUAAGAGCAUGGCUUUGUGCAUCUGAAUCGAGCAGAGGCCACGUCUCUCCUGAUGCUUCAUGUGGACUCUUGAAUUCAAUUUCCCACUCUUUGUCUGCAAACUCUAGUCAAUAGGAAGCGAUGAAGAUGUCCCCAGGGGAAGAGGGGUGUCUUUGUUUGUAUUAAUUCAGGAACAUUUUCUCACUCUUUAUUCCCUGAUGCAACAGAGGAAAGCUGGAAAGUGGCUCACUGAUGUUUUCUUACUGAGGGUCAGCCUGUGAUCCAUGUGCUUCCAGAGAAAUUAUUUACUUGGGCUCUUUCUGCAGAGCUCAGGGAAGGGCUGGGUAAAAUUCAGGCCCUUUUUUGAAACCUUGAUAGACAAGAGUGUCCCCAGUUUUUUGCCUGUUCCUCUCACACAUAAAACGUCUCCUUUCACUUGAGUUACAACC